rnacentral:rRNA from 1 species
UACAGAGGGUGCAAGCGUUGUUCGGAAUUAUUGGGCGUAAAGGGAGUGUAGGCUGUUAAGUAAGUCUUCUGUGAAAUCUACGGGCUUACCCCGUAACGUGCAGAGGAAACUGCUUAGCUUGAGUGUCGGAGAGGAUAGGGGAAUACCCGGUGUAGAGGUGAAAUUCGUAGAGAUCGGGUGGAACACCAGUGGCGAAGGCGCCUAUCUGGCUGACAACUGACGCUGAGACUCGAAAGCAUGGGGAGCAAACAGGAUUAGAUACCCUGGUAGUCCAUGCCGUAAACGAUGAUAGCUAGAUGUGUGGGGUAUUGACCCCCUACGUGUCGAAGCAAACGCGAUAAGCUAUCCGCCUGGGGAGUACGGACGCAAGUUUAAA